rnacentral:rRNA from 1 species
UACAUAGGUUAACAGAGCAAACCGGGGGAACUGAAACAUCUAAGUACCCCGAGGAGAAGAAAUCAACCGAGAUUCCGGUAGUAGCGGCGAGCGAACCUGGAUUAGCCCUUAAGCACUCGGUGAAGUAGGUGAACAAGCUGGAAAGCUUGGCGAUACAGGGUGAUAGCCCCGUAACCGACGCUUCAUCGAGCGUGAAAUCGAGUAGGGCGGGACACGUGAUAUCCUGUCUGAAUAUGGGGGGACCAUCCUCCAAGGCUAAAUACUCCUGACUGACCGAUAGUGAACCAGUACCGUGAGGGAAAGGCGAAAAGAACCCCUGUGAGGGGAGUGAAAUAGAACCUGAAACCGUGUACGUACAAGCAGUAGGAGCACCUUCGUGGUGUGACUGCGUACCUUUUGUAUAAUGGGUCAGCGACUUAUAUUCAGUGGCAAGGUUAACCGUAUAGGGGAGCCGUAGCGAAAGCGAGUCUUAACUGGGCGCUCAGUCUCUGGAUAUAGACCCGAAACCGGGUGAUCUAGCCAUGGGCAGGUUGAAGGUUGAGUAACAUCAACUGGAGGACCGAACCGACUAAUGUUGAAAAAUUAGCGGAUGACUUGUGGCUAGGGGUGAAAGGCCAAUCAAACUCGGAGAUAGCUGGUUCUCCCCGAAAGCUAUUUAGGUAGCGCCUCGGACGAAUACUACUGGGGGUAGAGCACUGUUAAGGCUAGGGGGUCAUCCCGACUUACCAACCCUUUGCAAACUCCGAAUACCAGUAAGUACUAUCCGGGAGACACACGGCGGGUGCUAACGUCCGUCGUGGAGAGGGAAACAACCCAGACCGCCAGCUAAGGUCCCAAAGUAUUGCUAAGUGGGAAACGAUGUGGGAAGGCUCAGACAGCUAGGAUGUUGGCUUAGAAGCAGCCAUCAUUUAAAGAAAGCGUAAUAGCUCACUAGUCGAGUCGGCCUGCGCGGAAGAUGUAACGGGGCUAAGCA